rnacentral:rRNA from 1 species
AGUGAACGCUGGCGGUAGGCCUAACACAUGCAAGUCGAACGGCAGCACAGUAAGAGCUUGCUCUUACGGGUGGCGAGUGGCGGACGGGUGAGGAAUACAUCGGAAUCUACUUUUUCGUGGGGGAUAACGUAGGGAAACUUACGCUAAUACCGCAUACGACCUACGGGUGAAAGCAGGGGAUCUUCGGACCUUGCGCGAUUGAAUGAGCCGAUGUCGGAUUAGCUAGUUGGCGGGGUAAAGGCCCACCAAGGCGACGAUCCGUAGCUGGUCUGAGAGGAUGAUCAGCCACACUGGAACUGAGACACGGUCCAGACUCCUGCGGGAGGCAGCAGUGGGGAAUAUUAGACAAUGGGCGCAAGCCUGAUCCAGCCAUACCGCGUGGGUGAAGAAGGCCUUCGGGUUGUAAAGCCCUUUUGUUGGGAAAGAAAAGCAGCAGGUUAAUACCCCGCUGUUCUGACGGUACCCAAAGAAUAAGCACCGGCUAACUUCGUG